AUACAACUGUUACUGGUCCGAAGAUAACCAGUAGAGGAGAGGAAUGAUUGUAGAGGAGAGGAAUCUUUCAUACAUACAUACAUGAAAUAGUGGGCAAGGGUCUGCAAAGGGAGGAAAGAGCCUCUUCAGGAGAAGGAGGCUGCCGUUGUGUGAAUUAGAUGAGAAAACAAGAUGAACAAGAUCUAUUAACCCAGGAAGGGAGGGAGAAAGAAAAAAAAGGAGGGGAAGAAAGAUAAAGGGGAAGAGUGAAUGGACAGAAGAGAGAAAAAAGGGAGGGAAAGAGAGAAAGAAGGAAGGGCAAGGGAUGGGCCUGAGCCUGUCAGCAGCCUGAGGGGAAUGAGCAGCCAUGGCAGCACCUAUUGGCAGCAAGGAAGGGCCCAUUCAACCACUGCUGCUGUUUGGGGCUACCGAGGCCAUUGUUGGAGGGAGGGAGGCAGGCAGGCAGGCAGGCAGGCAGGCAAGGGAUGGGCCUCGGCCUGUCAGCAGCCUGAGUGGGAUGAGCAGCCAUGGAGGUAGUGAGGAAAGGCGCCAUCAAGUGCUGCUGCUCCUGUGGGGAGGAGCAGGUGAGGUCAUCUGUGGGGUUAGGGGGCUGCAGCUUGGCUAGUAGGUGCCAGCAGCCAUGACCAAGAGGGGUGAGGGGGGUGGAGUAAAGGAAGAGAGGAGUGAUCAAGAGGGAUGAGGAGGAUGGAAGCAACUGGAUGGAGGAGGAGGAGGAGGAGUACAGCUCAGAAGAAGAAGAAGAAGAGUACACUGUGCAUCACUUUAUAUUUCCCAGCAAUAAUCUGGCAUCCUGCCAGGCCCAUUCAAAGAGGCAGUUAGCCCAAGUGCAUACAGGCAAGCCUCGUUAUCUGCGGUUCCAUCAUCCGCGGUUUGUGUAUAUGUGGUCAGAUGAAUGAUACCCAACCUCAGCAUUUGUGGGACGAAACGGCACACAAAAGCCCUUCUCCUCCUCAGCAUAACCUAUGCCAUGGAUUGGAGAAUGCUGUCUAUCAAGAAGUUGUCCAACAGUCAGCCUGAUCUUGAGCAUUACUCAUGAGAAACAGAGCAAAGGCCUUAACUUAAUUUGCGGCUAAAUGUUAUCUAUCAACUGUCCAAACCCGCUUCAGUGUGUGCUGACUAUGCUGCUCUCCGUCUGUAAAACGGACACAUUAAAAACCCAUUUCACAAAGCUGUUCUGAGAAAGGAUGGAUAAAUAAAGCAGGGAUCGCAAGGUACUCUGCACCCUCCUAGUGUUACACAAUUGGCAUUUUUAGUAAAUAAUGCUGACAUUUUCAAAGUCUUGAGAACUGCGACAUAAUUUUUUAAAUGGAAAACACACAAAGAACAACAUGUGGAACGAAACUCUCGAAGCACGAAGGAGUCCAUUAUCCUCUGUUUCAAUUAAUCCGGGGAAAUUAAUUCCAAAAAAUAAAGGACGCUGCUAAAUCCACCCUUGCUUACCCCAGCUAGAACUUUACCACAGGACUGUGUGAAUCUUUGCCUUUCGGAGUCGGACCUGCAUCUGCUUCUGCAGGCAAAGCCCGAGGCAGCCAUCAGCACCAACCUCCCAAGCAACCUAAAACUGCAAAGAUCAGUCCACAGCAAAUGACUUACUUGUACCUCCUUCGAGGGAAGCUCCUGGCAAACGCGAAUCUGCUAAUAAUAAUCCUCCUCAGUUCGUACGAGCUGCGCUUUGAACAAUGCAGCUCAGGCGAGCCAUGACUCCUACCCCGUUUUCCGAGGAUGACGAAACCCGGAUUUUGCUGCAAUCCUCUUUCGUUGUAGGACUCCGGUUACUGGGCAAGUUUGGCUGGGUUCGCCUUUCUCAGCUGCCCCCCACCUUGUUUCUCCUGCUGCUGGCUAGAAGCUGGAAUGAGAUACCGCCAAGUUGUCCUGGUCUCUGGGUUUGUGUCUCUAGGAGUCCUGCUGUUGCUUCUGAGUAACCAUUUUAGAUUAGGAGACUCCCUAUAAGCAACGACAGGCCUACCACCCAAGGCCUGGGAGAAAGAAGCAUUUCCAGGAUGGACUGUAGAUAACUGAUAAUGCAUUGAAGUGGAUUAAGUGGAAGCUGUAGGUGUCAACUCACUGUAUUCUGGCACUUUCUCUUCUGAGCCUCUUGUUAUUCCUAAUUAUCAGUCUGACCCUUUCUUCAGUUCAUGGGGUGGAUAUUGUAGUUUUUGGCCUAAAAGUAUAAUAUAAGUCCUCAAGGUAUGACUUAAUGUCCAAGGAGUUGGAACAAAUACAGUUGUAUCAUAGGGCUUGGCCGUAAGCUAUGGCUCAUGUGUUGUGUGCUCUGGAUGGAAGCUAAAAGCAUGUAAAUUUUUGUGGGCUUCUGUGGACUUCUGACAAGGUAGCGUUUAUUGUCUGUUGCACAGUUGUAUAGUAGUGUCCAGGACUGGUAUCUAGGGAGUGAAUAUACUGGGUGAAGAAUGGACUUUAAGGAGGGGAAGUUUAGUUUAAAAUUGUCUAUGUUCUGUAUGCUGCUUAGUUUGGAGGUUUUGUGGGAAGGUGAGUGUGGUGUUGCAUGCUAGUUUACAUGCUAGUUAUGAUCUCUAGGGGGCUUGGCUGGAUUUGUCUGAUGGAAGGAAUUCCAUGGGUUUCAGAACUGGGCAGCAGCCGGCAGCUGCAGGAGAGAAUUACUUGGUUGUUAAUUGACAGUGGCUAAGGAAGCAACUGACAGUUUGGAUAAGAUGUUGAUGGAUUGACAAGGAAAUUAGUUGGUUAAAAUAUAAAGGGUAAGGCAGAAGAAGUAAUUGUGGGCUGGAGCUAAGGAAAGUAGCUGGUGGAAGGAAGUGUGAAGUCUUUUAUAUUCACUUUCUGAACAGCUUCUAAGGUCAAACCCUCUUGCUUAUAUCUGUCAGAGGCAUUAUGAAAGUAUAACUAAAGAGUGAAACAAGUCUAACUCAAGAAGUGCUGUAAAAAGUUGUUUAAUUAAAAACCUAAAUUGCUGUAUUGAUUAAAAGGAUCAUCUUCUGGGGAAUAAUAAAUUAUCUCUACCUUCUAAUUGAAUGGACUAACUCUCUGUUGGUGUAACUCCCAUGCCUACAGCAUUUCCCACUUACCAAGGGCAGUGACUGGCACAGUAGUCCCAGCACAGUUAAGAUGAGGACUUGUUUCAACAUUCUACCAUUAUAAGCCCUGAACAUUCUAUUGAUUACAAAACUGAAACUUCCUUUCCAAUCUGCCUAAACAUUUGCAGACAUUAGCCAGGUGAUGUGAUACCAUCCCUCCAAAUCUGCUGCUUAUCUGAUGUAAAAUGGCUUAGAUACAGCAGUUUAAAAACUGAUCCUUAAACUCUAGAAAACACACCUUAUUUUUUUAAAUGUCCCUUUCACUGUUUUUAAAAAUUCAGGUAUAUGCUGAAUCAUAAUCUUAUGUUGCUUUGAAAAAAACUCAUCCAGUAUUUUAUGAGUUAUUAGGGAUUAGACACCACAGCCACGUGGGCAGGAUAUCAAAAUCUAUAAGCAUGUAUUAUCAUUUCUGUAGAGAAAUUUUGAAAUUAUACCAAUUCAAAAUCAAGUGAAUGAAUGAAUGAAGUACCUGGUUCCACAUGAUAGCUUAGCUGCUACCUGGAAACAAUAACUAUUUUUAUAUAGAGAUUAUUUUUAUAUUUAUAUUAUCUGUACUUUUGCAUUAUGUAUUUUAAUUUUUGAGAUCAUCUGUACUUUUGUAUUUUAAUUAUGCAUUUUUUAAAUUAUAUUGUAAACCACUUUGAGAUUAUUUUAAUGAAAAGGGGUAUAUAAAUUGAACAAUACAUAAAUAAACUACAAGGAUUCCUUUAUAAUAAUGCCACUGAAGAAGGCCAAAACACAUAUGGCUACAUUAGAUAAGGAAGGACAUUCCCUAUAUGAGACUUGCAGUUGAUGUUAACUCCCCAUAAGAUACAGCAUUCAUAUUCUUACCUUAUCCAAGGACAACUGGAUUCCUCUUUAAUUUACAUUGGAUAUUUAAAUGCCCAGAAGGUCAACUUAUAGAGGUCUGAUCUGCAAGUUGUGACAUUCCUUUUAUAUUUAUUUGAGGACCUCAGUAGUAAGGUUGACCGUAAAUUCUCAUUAUACAAACUGUUCUAUACUCAUGUUUUUUGUUGUUACAUGUCCUUUUUUAUAGACAUUGCUCACAUUGAUGUGCUAAAUGAGAUUGUUUAUUAAAUGUUUCUCUUUA